rnacentral:rRNA from 1 species
UACAGAGGUCUCAAGCGUUAAUCGGAAUCACUGGGCGUAAAGCGCACGUAGGCGGACUCUUAAGUCGGUGGUGAAAUCCUGGAGCUCAACUCCAGAACUGCCUCCGAUACUGCGAGUCUCCGAGUCCGGGAGAGGUGAGUGGAACUGCGAGUGUAGAGGUGAAAUUCGUAGAUAUUCGCAAGAACACCAGUGGCGAAGGCGGCUCACUGGCCCGGUACUGACGCUGAGGUGCGAAAGCGUGGGGAGCAAACAGG